GACCCCUGAACCCACUAAAAAGCAAUAUUUUAAAUUUUUUUUGGGUGAAAGUAACACACUCUCUCCACGUCAGCUACCACGUCUGUCACAUCUGCCACGUCAUUUUAAAAAAAAAAGUAAAAAAAUAAAAAAAAGUGUUACAUUAAAUUCCAAGUCAUUUUUAAAAUGCUAAAUAAUGGUAAUAGCGAGUUUUGUUGCGCAACUUCAACUCCCGAAUUUACAUGUAAAAAUAAAAAGAGAAAAGAAUUAGAAAAGAUUAAAUAAUUUGAUAAGAUAAGAAUGGAAAUUAGCGAACACAUUAAACAAUAUAACAAAUAACCACAAACUUUGUCCUCCAACAUAUACCAAAAUUCCUCCAAUACCAGCUGGAGUCUGUUGGUAGGGCAUGUUCCUCCAACAUAAUGAAUUGCUAAAAAAAAAUGGUAACCUCCACUGAUUUGGUUACUUGUCAUAAAAAAAUAUGCCUACUUUCGAGAAGAAUUUUGCAUUUAUAUUGCUGUUCUAGAGUUCUGUUUUAGACCUAACACAAUUAUUAAGAUGAACUGAAAGUCCAUGUUCUCAAGAUUUUGCCCAUUCAUGUAUUACAACAACACUCGAAAACAACUAAGAUAAAACAGUCUGAAUUAUUUCUUGGCUAUUGUGGAAAUAAAAUACAGCUAAGUUCUUAUCGGCUUAUUGCUUCUUUGCUCACAUCCGUUAAUGUAUAACCACAGGAAUUUAUUCAAUAUGAAUAGUUACAACCAACUAAUCAAUUCUCAGGAAUAGUAUGGGAUGAAACGGUUAGCUCGGCCAAUAUCGCUCUCGUAAACAUGAACCUUAUCAAAUUCCUGCUAAACCCAUUUUUUUUUUAAACAAAAAAAGGCAGCAACGCAUAGAUACACACAUAUUUUACGAACUGCUAAGCGCGUUUUUUAAAAAAAAAAACGAAAUCAACCUCCCAGGCUUAAAAGCACUAGUUCAAUUAUUUUGAUAUGGUGUUCACAUUAACUAGUUGGAAUAGUUUUCAAUCCACUGCCAACCUAAAAAUAUCCCUAUUUACCCAUAAAUGCUAUGGAAACAUGAACAAAAUUUGGACCACCAAAGUUUUCAAACUCAAAACAAAUCGCACCUUGAAAAAAAAUCAAACGGGACUAUGUUUUUUUGAAAUCUGAUUUUCGAGAGCAAAUAACAACACCACGACCAAAAUUGAAAUAAAGAUAUACAAUACAUCCACAUAAAACUCCGUUUCAUAUUCGACAACACAACACACACUUGAUCAAAAUUCACAUACAAUUCCAUCUUUGAAUUAAUAACAACCUAAACCCAACCAAAUUUAAACUAAAAUAACACGUUCACGGGAACAAACAAGAUGAACACAAGAGGAGACGGAAGUGAGACAAGAAGAAGGUUUGCACAUUUCGCAUACGCCACGGACUUGAUUUCAUUGGAAAACAAAUAUCAAUACCAACACGGGCUAAAGCCCGACAAAUCCAUUUCAACACUAACCUAAUCAGAAGUCAUACAUCCACCCAUUUUUAGAAUCAACCAACAACCACCGAAACUACCUCAUCUGUAUGUUCGUGAAAAAUGAGAAAAUGGGAAGAUGGGGGACGAAUUUAUACCUUGUGUUGUGCAGCAAACUGGGCUUGACGGCAAAGGUUUUCCGGCAAUGAAAUCAAACUCCGAGUACUCCGAAUUCGGCCCAAAAUCAAAAAGAAAUCCAGAACCUUAACACUAAGUCCUUUCUAGGAAUUUGCACUUGCUUUCCUUGUUUUCUCUCUGUUUAUCCCUCUUUCAAAAUUUCUCCUUUUUCUAAAAAAAAAAAAAUACUUCCGCCCUAUUUUCACUUGAUUUUAACACUACUUUUCCGCUUUUCUCGAUUUUCCGCCUCUCUUUUUUCACUUUUUUCACAAUUUCAAGACCUUUCUCGCCUCUUUUCCACCUUUGUUCUCCCACCCCUUUGAGUGAUGACAUAGCCGGUAUUUAUAGCCAAAUCCGGACUUCAAAGUCCGAACUUGAAAAAACUUCGUUGGAGCCAACGGAUAGAAAAAGAGGGAAAGUCCAAUUUAAAAUCUGAAAAGAGAUGGAGGAUUUGCAGUCGAAUUGAAUUGUUGCAUCAAUUUGAGGUCUGUUUUCUCUGGUUGUUUGGCUUCACGAGCAGUGGGUGACGAAAAAGGGAGAAUCUUGACAGGCUAGCAGCGAAGCUGCGGCAGCUAAGGCCGCUAGGCUGAUGAAACGUUGUAUGGGGAAAUGGACACAUUACGCAUAUUCUGAUCUUGGGGUGAGAAAAGCCGUGUUUUGGGAGUUGUUUUGUUGAUUGAAAUUCAUAUCGUUUGAUUGUUUGAUUGGAAGAUUCAAAUUUGAUAUAAAAGUAAAAAGAAAUAUAUUUAUAUAUAUAUAAAUAAUUGAAAAUUUUGAGUUCUUUGGAUUAGAAAUAAAUUGACGGACUAGAUUAAUUUGUGUUUGUUCGAUUAAUUUUGGUAUUUCUUUGGUGACAUGAUGAUGUAUGAUUAGUGGAUGUUGUGUGAGGUAGAUUGAUGAAGUGGAAGUGAGA
rnacentral:lncRNA from 1 species